CUGUUCUCAACGGGGUGCCCACUGGUGCUGAGAUAUACCCGUAGAACCUGAUCCGGUUAACACCGGCGUAGGGAUUUGAGACUGACUCACUC
rnacentral:ncRNA from 1 species